GACGAACGCUGGCGGCGUGCUUAACACAUGCAAGUCGAACGGAAAGGCCCUGCUUUUGUGGGGUGCUCGAGUGGCGAACGGGUGAGUAACACGUGAGUAACCUGCCCUUGACUUUGGGAUAACUUCAGGAAACUGGGGCUAAUACCGGAUAGGAGCUCCUGCUGCAUGGUGGGGGUUGGAAAGUUUCGGCGGUUGGGGAUGGACUCGCGGCUUAUCAGCUUGUUGGUGGGGUAGUGGCUUACCAAGGCUUUGACGGGUAGCCGGCCUGAGAGGGUGACCGGCCACAUUGGGACUGAGAUACGGCCCAGACUCCUAGGGAGGCAGCAGUGGGGAAUAUUGCACAAUGGGCGGAAGCCUGAUGCAGCAACGCCGCGUGCGGGAUGACGGCCUUCGGGUUGUAAACCGCUUUCGCCUGUGACGAAGCGUGAGUGACGGUAAUGGGUAAAGAAGCACCGGCUAACUACGCG
rnacentral:rRNA from 1 species